CCUACGGGGGGCAGCAGUGGGGAAUAUUGGACAAUGGGGGCAACCCUGAUCCAGCCAUGCCGCGUGUGUGAAGAAGGCCCUCGGGUUGUAAAGCACUUUCAGUGAGGAAGAACGCCUGGUGGUUAAUACCCAUCAGGAAAGACAUCACUCACAGAAGAAGCACCGGCUAACUCCGUGCCAGCAGCCGCGGUAAUACGGAGGGUGCGAGCGUUAAUCGGAAUUACUGGGCGUAAAGCGCGCGUAGGUGGCUUGAUAAGCCGGUUGUGAAAGCCCCGGGCUCAACCUGGGAACGGCAUCCGGAACUGUCAAGCUAGAGUGCAGGAGAGGAAGGUAGAAUUCCCGGUGUAGCGGUGAAAUGCGUAGAGAUCGGGAGGAAUACCAGUGGCGAAGGCGGCCUUCUGGACUGACACUGACACUGAGGUGCGAAAGCGUGGGUAGCAAACAGGAGUAGAUACCCCUGUAGUC
rnacentral:rRNA from 1 species